UCGAGCGCCCGCAUCGUUAGCGGCGGACGGGUGUGUAAUGCGUGGGAAUCUACCUCGUAGUGGGGGACAACCCGGGGAAACUCGGGCUAAUACCGCAUACGUUCUAUGGAAAAAAGGGGGCCUCUGCUUGCAAGCUCUCGCUAUGGGAUGAGCCCACGUCCGAUUAGCUAGUUGGUGGGGUAAGGGCCUACCAAGGCGACGAUCGGUAGCUGGUCUGAGAGGGUGACCAGCCACACUGGGCCUGAAACCCGGCCCAGACUCCUACGGGAGGCACCUAUGGGGAAUAUUGAACAAUGGUCGCAAGCCUGAUCCAGCAAUGCCACGUGUGUGAAGAAGGCCUGCGGGUUGUAAAGSACUUUCAUUGGGGAGCAAAAGCCUGGAGUGAAUAUCCCUGGGUCUUGACGUUACCUACAGAAGAAGCACCGGCUAACUCCGUGCCAGCAGUCCCGGUCAUACGGAGGGUGCAAGCGUUAAUCGGAAUUACUGGUCGUAAUGCGCGCGUAGGCGGUUGGAUAAGUCAGCUGUGAGAGCCCCGUGYUCAACCUGGGAACUGCAGUUGAUACUGGCCGACUUGAGUAUGGUAGAGGGGGGUGGAAUACCCGGAGUAACGUUGAAGUGCAUAGAUGUCGGGAGGAACACUAGUGGCGAACGCGGCCCCCUGGACCAAUACUGACGCUGAUGUGUGAAAGUGAGGUGAGCAGACAAGAUUAGAUACCCUGGUAGUACACGCUGUAAACGAUGUCUACUAGCCUUCGGAUCCAUUUAUGGGUUUGAUGGCGCAGCUAAUGCGAUAAGUCGACCCCCUGAGUCAGUACGCCCCGUAAAGUUCAGACUCACAGGUAAUUGACGGGCAGCACGCCACAAGCGGUGCCAGCAUGUUGGUUUUAAUUCCUGAAGCAGUUGCUAAAGAAUGCUAACCUUGAGCU
rnacentral:rRNA from 1 species